ensembl:lncRNA
UGCGAAUGUCACAAAUGUGUAGGCAGUUGAGUUUUUUUUCCUGCAGCGAGUGUUCACACCUGUACUUGGUCCUCUGCUGUGCUAAUGUAAGGUCAUUUUACAUUCCAUUUAGACACGGACAGUUUUCUCCCGGUGCUCCAGGUUUUCCUCAAAAAGAUCUUUCUUAAUCGAUUAAUACAUUCGUUCCGCUAUAAAAGUAGAGUCCAUCACUUAUCCGAGAGUACAGUUCCAGAACCAAGGCUGUACGUAGAGCCCCGAUAUAAAGAUUGAAAGGAUAUUGAACUAGACGGACUGUCUGUCUGUCUUUUAACAGGAAAUGACGCAGCCCCCCGCCCCCAAGUGUCACGCACUUCCGCCACACAUCCAAUCCUCACGCCAAGGAAUCGGAAUCCGGUUACCGAGCCGUGACGGCCAUAGCGUCCGUGGU